rnacentral:rRNA from 1 species
UUACCCUACGGGACGCAGCAGUGGGGAAUAUUGCACAAUGGGGGAAACCCUGAUGCAGCGACGCCGCGUGAGUGAAGAAGGAUUUCGGGAUGUAAAGCUCUAUCAGCAGGGAAGAUAAUGACGGUACCUGAAUAAGAAGCUCCGGCUAAAUACGGGACAGCAGCCGCGGUAAUACGUAUGGAGCAAGCGUUAUCCGGAUUUAAUGGGUGUAAAGGGAGCGCAGAAGGCAAGGCAAGUCUGAUGUGAAAGUCCGAGG